AAWUKGUUWGUGGCAGACGGGUGAGUAAUGCGUAGGAAUCUACCUAGUAGUACGGAAUAGCCAUUAGAAAUGGUGGGUAAUACUGUAUAAUCCCCGAGGGGGGAAAGAUUUAUCGCUAUUAGAUGAGCCUACGUUAGAUUAGCUAGUUGGUGAGGUAAUGGCUUACCAAGGCUAUGAUCUAUAGCUGGUCUGAGAGGACGAUCAGCCACACUGGAACUGAGAUACGGUCCAGACUCCUACGGGAGGCAGCAGUGGGGAAUAUUGGACAAUGGGCGAAAGCCUGAUCCAGCUAUGCCGCGUGAGUGAAGAAGGCCUUCGGGUUKWAAAAYUYYWYY
rnacentral:rRNA from 1 species